UGACUGAGCGGCGGACGGGUGAGUAACGCGUGGGUAACCUGCCUCAUACAGGGGAAUAACAGUUAGAAAUGGCUGCUAAUGCCGCAUAAGCGCACAGGACCGCAUGGUCUGGUGUGAAAAACUCCGGUGGUAUGAGAUGGACCCGCGUCUGAUUAGGUAGUUGGCGGGGUAACGGCCCACCAAGCCGACGAUCAGUAGCCGACCUGAGAGGGUGACCGGCCACAUUGGGACUGAGACACGGCCCAGACUCCUACGGGAGGCAGCAGUGGGGAAUAUUGCACAAUGGAGGAAACUCUGAUGCAGCGACGCCGCGUGAAGGAAGAAGUAUCUCGGUAUGUAAACUUCUAUCAGCAGGGAAGAAAAUGACGGUACCUGACUAAGAAGCCCCGGCUAACUACGUGCCAGCAGCCGCGGUAAUACGUAGGGGGCAAGCGUUAUCCGGAUUUACUGGGUGUAAAGGGAGCGUAGACGGACAGGCAAGUCUGAUGUGAAAGCCCGGGGCUUAACCCCGGGACUGCAUUGGAAACUGUCCAUCUUGAGUGCCGGAGAGGUAAGCGGAAUUCCUAGUGUAGCGGUGAAAUGCGUAGAUAUUAGGAGGAACACCAGUGGCGAAG
rnacentral:rRNA from 1 species